rnacentral:rRNA from 1 species
UUUAUGGAGAGUUUGAUCCUGGCUCAGGAUGAACGCUGGCGGCGUGCCUAAUACAUGCAAGUCGAGCGAACAGACGGGGAGCUUGCUCCCCCGACGUUAGCGGCGGACGGGUGAGUAACACGUGGGUAACCUACCUAUAAGACUGGAAUAACUCCGGGAAACCGGGGCUAAUACCGGAUAACAUGUUGGACGGCAGGGGCCUACAGUGACAGACGGUCUUGCUGUCACUUAUAGAUGGACCCGCGCCGUAUUAGCUAGUUGGUAAGGUAACGGCUUACCAAGGCAACGAUACGUAGCCGACCUGAGAGGGUGAUCGGCCACACUGGAACUGAGACACGGUCCAGACU